UACGGAGGGUGCGAGCGUUAAUCGGAAUUACUGGGCGUAAAGCGCGCGUAGGCGGUUUGUUAAGUCAGCUGUGAAAGCCCCGGGCUCAACCUGGGAACUGCAGUUGAUACUGGCCGACUGGAGUGCGAGAGAGGGAGGUAGAAUUCCAUGUGUAGCGGUGAAAUGCGUAGAUAUAUGGAGGAAUACCGGUGGCGAAGGCGGCCUCCUGGCUCGACACUGACGCUGAGGUGCGAAAGCGUGGGGAUCAAACAGGG
rnacentral:rRNA from 1 species